CAUCACGAGAGGUGGCAGGAGGCGGAACCACAUCAGAAGAAGAAGAAAAUAAUCAAGUGAUCCCAGCCGUGUUGGAUGAAGAGUCUGGCCACUCGAAAUAGCUUUUAGUUUAGAAGUGGCAGCCAAAGUCAUGUUUAUUGUUGAACAACUUCCAUAUAAAUGCUCAACAUUAGCACAUUAGUAUAUUGUUUGGAAUUGGGACUUGUUGUUUGUCUUUCUUCUUUCCUUUCUUCCCUCUUUAUCUAUCCAAAAAAAUGGAGGAGGAGCUGAACCAUCAGCAACAAACCAGAAACUAUCAUAUGGGAUGCAUUUUAUUAUUUUUUUUCUAAUUAUUAUUGUGGUAAUAGGUCUUAUUAUGUUAAUUAUUAUUGGUAGUACUAUUACUGGAAAAGGCUGUGGUUAUUAUGUAAGGGGUCAGUUUGCCGUGAUUUAGACUAUUUGAGGACUUGCCUUACUUUCUGUACUGUUUGUUUUUCACGUUGAUGCAUGGGCUUAAAAUUAACUUUAUGGAGCCAAAAAGGAAACAUAUUUGUAAAAUUACCAGCCCCUCUGAGUUUUCUUGAGCUUUAAAUGUUUUGUUCUAAAAAAAACAAACAGUUUGCAGCCAAAAAAAGAUAAUAUGACGGUGUUUCCAAGCAUAUUUAUUGGGUUACUUGGUGUUAAUUUAAGCCCUGCUGGUGUCUUUAGUCUUAAAAAGAAACAAGAUCAUUGCAUGAUGAAUAAAGAAUUGAGAAACCUU